UCGGAACAGCCUAGUGCUCUUUAGCAGUCGACUUAUCAAAACAGCUUGGAAACGCUGGCCAUAGUGGGUGAUAGCCCCGUAUGAGAAAAAGUCUUCUGUGGAACUGAGUGCACGAUAAGUAGGGCGGGACACGAGAAAUCCUGUCUGAAGAUGGGGGACCAUCCUCCAAGGCUAAAUACUCGUAAUCGACCGAUAGUGAACAAGUACCGUGAGGGAAAGGCGAAAAGAACCCCGGGAGGGGAGUGAAAUAGAUCCUGAAACCGCAUGCAUACAAAAAGUCGGAGCCCGCAAGGGUGACGGCGUACCUUUUGUAUAAUGGGUCAGCGACUUACAUUCAGUGGCGAGGUUAACCGAAUAGGGUAGCCGAAGAGAAAUCGAGUCCGAAUAGGGCGUCUAGUCGCUGGGUGUAGACCCGAAACCAAGUGAUCUAUCCAUGGCCAGGAUGAAGGUGCGGUAACACGCACUGGAGGUCCGAACCGACUAGUGUUGCAAAACUAGCGGAUGAGCUGUGGAUAGGGGUGAAAGGCU
rnacentral:rRNA from 1 species